UACGUAGGCAGCAAGCGUUGUUCGGAGUUACUGGGCGUAAAGCGCACGUAGGCGGAUAUUUAAGUCAGGGGUGAAAUCCCAGAGCUCAACUCUGGAACUGCCUUUGAUACUGGGUAUCUUGAGUAUGGAAGAGGUAAGUGGAAUUGCGAGUGUAGAGGUGAAAUUCGUAGAUAUUCGCAGGAACACCAGUGGCGAAGGCGGCUUACUGGUCCAUUACUGACGCUGAGGUGCGAAAGCGUGGGGAGCAAACAGG
rnacentral:rRNA from 1 species